GGAUGCGACUUGCCCUGAUGAGUGGGAAAGCGGGGUACGGAGGUCAGUGGGACGAUGCCAUCCCUCGUUUGGAAAAAUAAUAUGUCUGUAUACACACCCCCACCCCCAGCCCAGCGCACGAUGUGGCUGCACAGACGCCGAGAUGCCGAUGCGGUUCCGGACAGGGGCCGGGAUUUCAGACAGCGGCCCACGCUCACUGGAGAUCCAAGUCUAUGGUCAGUCACCUGGAUGUGUCUGAUAGAAGUCAUCAUCUGUCAGGCUGCAGACCUGGGCCCCCACGAUAAGCCCAGGGCAUUGGGCAGGGGCAGAGUGAAGACGGAUUUUGGAGUGUUUUCAGAUGAGCAGGUUGCAUGAUUAAUUUGCAAGUUGAAUCCCAUACUGUCCAUGAAACUAAGCAGAACAUAGGAUAGAUGAGGUAUUAGAUGCCACCUUUUGACUGAGCACCGAGAAGGGUUGCAGCCAACAUCAGCCUGGGUCACUGCGACAGAACAGGAUCACCUGUGGUCACGCCUCAGCUCUGCGGGGCCGGUGGUGGCUCACUCAAGCUCUGGAUCGUUAGAAUCCCCAGAGGCAAGGGAAUCAAGAACAAAAAUAAACUACUGGGACCUCAUCAAGAUAAAAGGCUUCU